GUAAUUUCAAGCCUGUACUGAAGCCAAAUAUAUGCAUAAUAAAAACGAAUUAAUCCUUUAAAGUUGUACAAAUUACAACAAAUCAAAUAUCAUUUGCAGAAAAACAUAUAUUCAGAUCUCCUCGGAACUCCCAUCAAAUGGAACCAGAGAAGAUAUACUAUUACAUUCUAAUAAAAUCUCUCUCCCUCUCUCUCUGACAUAUAUGUAAAGCUCGGUAGAGUUAAGAAUCUGACUCUGGCACAGAAGUUGGAUGGACUUUCUUGAACACAGUGGAGAAGCAACCAGAUGAUCCACUACUGUUUUGUAAUGGUUUUUCUUGACUCGUAUUCUUUUGGAGUCUGUUGGUCUUCUCUUUAUGGAGUUUCCUCAAUACGUGAACUUCAGCAAUAUCAAAAUUAGGACUCAACAUGGCUGCUCUCUCGAUACAAAAAUACAGAUGCAGUAAGUGUCUGAUUGUAUGGAAUGAAUUGAAUUGAAACGAUGAAUGAAUGAGCGAAAGAAUGCAAUUAGUGGGAUAUAUAUAGACUUUUGAUGAACUCUAUUCCUACGCAAUGGAUGGCUUGAUUAAUGAAACGAUGUGAGAAAAGCUG
rnacentral:lncRNA from 1 species